CACCCCUUUACAUUCUUCAUAGUUGAAUUUUCAAAGGUUCCAAUUAUCUGGUGUGACAAUUCAAGUAUAUCUUCAGAGUUGCAAAGCUAGUGCAUCAUGUAAGUACAAAACAUAGAGCUCAAUUUGUACUUCAUGAGAGUGAAGGUUCUGCAAAAUUAGGACUUUUUCAAAGUUGUUUUUAUUUUAUUUAAAAGUUGUUUUAAAGACAUACAGG
rnacentral:lncRNA from 1 species